AUGAUGCCCCCCACCACCACACCCCCCCCCCAACCACCUCCCUCCAGCUACCCUAGUCUGAGGGCUUUUCCACCCACAUGGUCUCUGUUCCUGUCCAGCCGGACAGGUCAGGGGUGGUUUCUGGUCUGGGCACUGGGGCACUGGCUCCUGUCUGGGGUGAUUCCUGCUGAGUCACUGGCUAGGCUCUCAGGAUCCCAUGGGUCUAAUCGUGCAGGGGGUGAUGAGACACUACGUCUAUGUGAGUGGUGGGUGCUGGGCUGGCCACAGCCUGCUUCUCCCCCUCACUGGUGGCUUCUGUUUCACCUCUCCCCGCUGCAUGGCCCUAGAAGGACCCAGCCCCCACCCAGGCCUGACCAAGGCCCUGGCUAGCCUGCCGGUUAAGAAAGAGGAGAAGAGAAGACUUAUGGAACCUCCCCCCCCCCCCCCCCCCGCCACAAGAGGCCCUCCACAGGGGACCUGGAAGGUCUGACCUUCAGGCCUGACCUUGGAAGCCUGAAUUCACUUGUGGGGCGGGGUCCUGGCCCAAGGCUUGGGCCUCAUGUCAGGGCGGGGGGCAAAGUAGGGGCAUCCUGCCUGUCUGCCGGGAGGGUUGGAAGGUCCUGAUUCCAAUCCGAGCGGUGUCUCUCCCUAGCCCUCACCCUGAUCCGUCACUGCGGUAGGUCAGCUCCCCCCCUAAAUCUAUCUAGAAUCUGACCCUGUCUCACCACCUCCAUUGCCCCUCUGCUCAGGACCCUCCAGGGGCUCACAGAACAAAAGCCAAAUCCUCACUGUGGCCCAAUCUGCCCACCUCUGCUCCAGCCAUACCCGUUUCCUUGUUGUUCCUUGAAUAUGCCCACCAUAUUCCUGCCUCAGGACCUUUGCAUUUGCUGCUCCCUCUGCCUGAAACUCCUUUUCCCAAAUAUUCACACGGCCCCCUCCUCACUGCCUUCAAAUCUUCACUUGGCAUCACUUCCGGAGACGUCUUCCUUCAACCCCUACCCAACAUGAAGACCAACCUCUCUGAGGUUCCGACUCCCCCACCUGUGCUUGAUUCUUCCCCCCUAACCCUUACCACCACACAUUGUGCUACAAUGUGCUUGUCUAGCUCCCUUGACAGCAGGGAGACUGUCUGCUCUGUUCACUGUUUUAUCCCAUGUGCCCAGAGCAAGGUCUGGCCCACAGUAGGUGCUCAAUAUAUUUGGGGCAGAUAAAUGAAUGAACGGUUGAGCUGGAGAAAUUGGGAAGGGCAGUGAGAAGAGCACAUUUUAAAGCACAGGUGUUCAGGGAGAGCCACUCUGAGGAGGUGACAUUUAAGCUGGAGCCUGAGGCUGAAAAAGAGCUGAUCCCUCCAAGUGUUCAAGGAGGAGAAAAUAGUAAGUGCAAAGGCCCU
rnacentral:lncRNA from 1 species